rnacentral:rRNA from 1 species
CAGUAGCCGCGGUAAUACGGAGGGCGCGAGCGUUACCCGGAUUUACUGGGCGUAAAGCGAGCGCAGACGGUUACUUAAGCAGGAUGUGAAAUCCCCGGGCUCAACCUGGGAACUGCGUUCUGAACUGGGUGACUAGAGUGUGUCAGAGGGAGGUAGAAUUCCACGUGUAGCAGUGAAAUGCGUAGAGAUGUGGAGGAAUACCGAUGGCGAAGGCAGCCUCCUGGGAUAACACUGACGUUCAUGCUCGAAAGCGUGGGUAGCAAACAGGAUUAGAUACCCCAGUAGUCCCUGUCUCUUAUAC